rnacentral:rRNA from 1 species
GAUGAACGCUGGCGGCGUGCUUAACACAUGCAAGUCGAACGAAGCAUUCGCGUCAGAUUUUUUCGGAAUGAGGAUUCUUAUGACUCAGGGGCGGACGGGUGAGUAAUGAUUUGGUACCAAGCUUUGUAUUGGGGGGUAGCAGCUGGACACUGCUGGGAAUACCGCAUAAGCGCGCACUGUUGCUUGACAUGGAGUUUAAAACUCCGGUGGUAUAAGAUGGACCCGCGUCUGAUUAGCUAGGUGGUGAGGUAACAGCCCACCAAGGCGACGAUCAGUAGCCGACCUGAGAGGGUGACCGGCCACAUUGGGACUGAGACACGGCCCAGACUCCUACGGGAGGCAGCAGUGGGGAAUAUUGCACAAUGGAGGAAACUCUGAUGCAGCGACGCCGCGUGAGUGAAGAAGUAAUUCGUUAUGUAAAGCUCUAUCAGCAGGGAAGAUAGUGACGGUACCUGACUAAGAAGCUCCGGCUAAAUACGUG